rnacentral:rRNA from 1 species
AGAUUAAGUUAUUAAGGGCGCACGGUGGAUGCCUUGGCACUAGAAGCCGAUGAAGGACGUUACUAACGACGAUAUGCUUUGGGGAGCUGUAAGUAAGCUUUGAUCCAGAGAUUUCCGAAUGGGGAAACCCAGCAUGAGUUAUGUCAUGUUAUCGAUAUGUGAAUACAUAGCAUAUCAGAAGGCACACCCGGAGAACUGAAACAUCUUAGUACCCGGAGGAAGAGAAAGAAAAUUCGAUUCCCUUAGUAGCGGCGAGCGAAACGGGAAGAGCCCAAACCAACAAGCUUGCUUGUUGGGGUUGUAGGACACUCUAUACGGAGUUACAAAGGACGACAUUAGACGAAUCAUCUGGAAAGAUGAAUCAAAGAAGGUAAUAAUCCUGUAGUCGAAAAUGUUGUCUCUCUUGAGUGGAUCCUGAGUACGACGGAGCACGUGAAAUUCCGUCGGAAUCUGGGAGGACCAUCUCCUAAGGCUAAAUACUCUCUAGUGACCGAUAGUGAACCAGUACCGUGAGGGAAAGGUGAAAAGCACCCCGGAAGGGGAGUGAAAUAGAACCUGAAACCGUGUGCUUACAAGUAGUCAGAGCCCGUUAAUGGGUGAUGGCGUGCCUUUUGUAGAAUGAACCGGCGAGUUACGAUUUGAUGCAAGGUUAAGCAGUAAAUGUGGAGCCGUAGCGAAAGCGAGUCUGAAUAGGGCGUUUAGUAUUUGGUCGUAGACCCGAAACCAGGUGAUCUACCCUUGGUCAGGUUGAAGUUCAGGUAACACUGAAUGGAGGACCGAACCGACUUACGUUGAAAAGUGAGCGGAUGAACUGAGGGUAGCGGAGAAAUUCCAAUCGAACCUGGAGAUAGCUGGUUCUCUCCGAAAUAGCUUUAGGGCUAGCCUCAAGUGAUGAUUAUUGGAGGUAGAGCACUGUUUGGACGAGGGGCCCCUCUCGGGUUACCGAAUUCAGACAAACUCCGAAUGCCAAUUAAUUUAACUUGGGAGUCAGAACAUGGGUGAUAAGGUCCGUGUUCGAAAGGGAAACAGCCCAGACCACCAGCUAAGGUCCCAAAAUAUAUGUUAAGUGGAAAAGGAUGUGGCGUUGC